GGAAGCCCAGACAUCAUUUCCCUGGAAUGCAGAGUGCCACUUCAACUUAGUCUGCAAUGAUGGAAGGACUAUCUCAACAGGCAUGGAGGCGAAUGGUAGGAGAUCCUGUCACAGAAAAGAGACCAGGGUCUAACACGGGAAGCUUCAGGAGACCUGCAACAAGAAGCACAGACUCUUUGCCAGAGCAUGAUACCAAUUUGGAUAGUGAUGAA
rnacentral:lncRNA from 1 species